GCCUGGCUAUCUCAGUCGGUAAAGCAUGAGACUCUUAAUCUCAAGGUCAUGGGUUUGGGUCCCACGUUGGGUG
rnacentral:tRNA from 1 species